AGGAUGAACGCUGGCGGCGUGCCUAACACAUGCAAGUCGAACGUCCUGUCUCGCAAGAGGCAGGGAGUGGCGGACGGGUGAGUACCACGUGGGUCAUCUACCGUGAGGUGAGGAAUACCGGCGAGAAAUCGCCGACAAGACCGCAUAGGCUCGAUGCAAGUCGAGCAAAGCUCUUUCGAGAGAGGGAGCGCCACACGAGGAGCCUGCGCCCGAUUAGCUAGCUGGUGGAGUAACGGUUCACUAGGGCGACGAUCGGUAGCUGGUCUGAGAGGACGAUCAGCCACACUGGGAUUGAGAACGGCCCAGACUCCUACGGGGGGCAGCAGUGAGGAAUUUUCGUCAAUGGGGGCAACCCUGAACGAGCAACGCCGCGUGCAGGAAGAAGGUUUUCGGAUCGUAAACUGCUUUUCUGUGGGAAGAGAACGGACGGUACCACAGGAAGAAGCCCCGGCUAACUACGCGCCAGCAGCCGCGGU
rnacentral:rRNA from 1 species